GCAUAUCAAUAAGCGGAGGAAAAGAAACUAACAAGGAUUCCCCUAGUAACUGCGAAGUGAAGCGGGAAAAGCUCAAAUUUAAAAUCUGGCGGUCUUCGAUCGUUCCGAGUUGUAGUCUGGAGAAGCGUCUUCCGCGCUGGACCGUGUACAAGUCUCUUGGAACAGAGCGUCGUAGAGGGUGAGAAUCCCGUCUUUGACACGGACUACCAGUGCUUUGUGAUGCGCUCUCAAAGAGUCGAGUUGUUUGGGAAUGCAGCUCAAAAUGGGUGGUAAAUUCCAUCUAAAGCUAAAUAUUGGCGAGAGACCGAUAGCGAACAAGUACCGUGAGGGAAAGAUGAAAAGCACUUUGGAAAGAGAGUUAAACAGUACGUGAAAUUGCUGAAAGGGAAACGAUUGAAGUCAGUCGCGUCGUCUAGAACUCAACCUUGCCUCGGCUCGGUGCAUUUUCUAGUUGACGGGCCAGCAUCAGUUUUGACCGUUGGAAAAAGGUCCUUGGAAUGUGGCACCUUCGGGUGUGUUAUAGCCUUGGGUCGUAUACGACGGUUGGGACUGAGGACCGCAGCACGCCUUUAUGGCCGGGGUUCGCCCACGUACGUGCUUAGGAUGCUGGCGUAAUGGCUUUAAACGACCCGUCUUGAAACACGGACCAAGGAGUCUAACAUGCCUGCGAGUGUUUGGGUGGUAAACCCGAGCGCGUAACGAAAGUGAAAGUUGGGAUCCCUGUCGUGGGGAGCACCGACGCCCACACCAGACCUUCUGUGACGGAUGUGCGGUUGAGCAUGUAUGUUGGGACCCGAAAGAUGGUGAACUAUGCCUGAAUAGGGUGAAGCCAGAGGAAACUCUGGUGGAGGCUCGUAGCGAUUCUGACGUGCAAAUCGAUCGUCAAAUUUGGGUAUAGGGGGCGAAAGACUAAUCGAACCAUCUAGUAGCUGGUUCCUGCCGAA
rnacentral:rRNA from 1 species